GAGACAAUGUUCUGCGAAAGAAAUGCACAUGCAUUGUUCCAAAAGAAGCCAUUUUACUGAUAAUUGUUUAUUGCUGGCAUACAAGAAAAUUUGAAGAGGAGGAUCAAGUAGUAGACUAUGUUUCUGUUAGCAUGAGAAGAACCUUCUGUGAUGAACUUUGAAUAUGUAUAAAUAUAUACUGUAAGAGAAAAUACAUGUCUAUAUAUAUUCACAACCUAAUACACUCAUGCCUUGAUACCAGUGCAAGUUUCAGUACUUAUUUCCAUCAAUAGUGGCACUAGUAGAACAGCUAUUCUUGUCUAUAUCACAUCCUCUUUUCAUAAAGAUCCCUUUCCUUUGUCUGACAAUGACUUAAAAUCAUUUUAAGAAUACAUUUGAUGAUUAUCGAUUCACUUUUGUAAUAGUAAUUGUAUCAUGUGAAUGUGCAGUGGUAAGUUUUCAUCAGUUUUGGGGAGUUACUAACAAAAAGGAGAAAUGCUGCCCAGACCUCAUUUCUUCUAUAUGUAUAGGACUUUCUUUUUUCAGAUGAAUACAGUCAUAAUUAUAUUAAACAUGUCCUAGCUCUUCCAAGCUUUAAAAUGGCAGUGGAUUGGGGUUGAGAUUUUGAAGACUGAGAUGCACACAACAUAUAUAUUGAUGAUAAUAUUAAUACAUUUUGACCUUUCUAGCGGUUGUAUAGAUUUAAUUGAUUCAUGGCUGCA